rnacentral:rRNA from 1 species
CCCUUAGAUGUUCUGGGCCGCACGCGCGCUACACUGUUCGACGCAGCGAGUCUUAACCUUGACCGAAAGGUUUGGGUAAUCUUCAGCAAAGUCGAACGUGAUGGGGAUCGAUCAUUGCAAUUAUUGAUCGUGAACGGGGAAUUCCUAGUAAGUGCAAGUCAUCAGCUUGCGCUGAUUACGUCCCUGCCCUUUGUACACACCGCCCGUCGCUACUACCGAUUGAAUGGUUUAGUGAGAUCUCUGGAUUGACGCUGGCUAGGGGGCGACCCUUGGCCAGGCUGUCGAGAAACUGCUCAAACUUGAUCAUUUAGAGGAAGUAAAAGUCGUAACA